rnacentral:rRNA from 1 species
GUGGGGAAUCUUCCACAAUGGACGAAAGUCUGAUGGAGCAACGCCGCGUGAGUGAAGAAGGGUUUCGGCUCGUAAAGCUCUGUUGUCGGGGACGAAUGUGCAGUAUUUGAAUAAAGUAGUGCAAUGACGGUACCUGACGAGGAAGCCACGGCUAACUACGUGCCAGCAGCCGCGGUAAUACGUAGGUGGCAAGCGUUGUCCGGAAUUAUUGGGCGUAAAGGGAGCGCAGGCGGGAAGGUAAGUCGGUCUUAAAAGUGCGGGGCUCAACCCCGUGAUGGGAUCGAAACUAUCUUUCUUGAGUGCAGGAGAGGAAAGUGGAAUUCCUAGUGUAGCGGUGAAAUGCGUAGAUAUUAGGAGGAACACCAGUGGCGAAGGCGACUUUCUGGACUGUAACUGACGCUGAGGCUCGAAAGCCAGGGGAGCGAACGGGAUUAGAAACCCCUGUAGUCC